CCUACGGGUGGCAGCAGUGGGGAAUAUUGGGCAAUGGGCGCAAGCCUGACCCAGCAACGCCGCGUGAAGGAAGAAGGCUUUCGGGUUGUAAACUUCUUUUCUCAGGGACGAAGCAAGUGACGGUACCUGAGGAAUAAGCCACGGCUAACUACGUGCCAGCAGCCGCGGUAAUACGUAGGUGGCAAGCGUUAUCCGGAUUUACUGGGUGUAAAGGGCGUGUAGGCGGGGACGCAAGUCAGAUGUGAAAACCACGGGCUCAACCCAUGGCCUGCAUUUGAAACUGUGGUUCUUGAGUGCUGGGGAGGCAGACGGAAUUCCGGGUGUAGCGGUGAAAUGCGUAGAUAUUAGGAGGAACACCAGUGGCGAAGGCGGUCUGCUGGACAGCAACUGACGCUGAGGCGCGAAAGCGUGGGGAGCAAACAGGAUUAGAUACCCGUGUAGUC
rnacentral:rRNA from 1 species